rnacentral:lncRNA from 1 species
CGUCACUUGGCUGCGUGGUGACACACCCUGGAAGUAGGUUUGUUCCGUGUCUCCGAGAGCCUUUGGCCUGGGGACGCUGCCAGUGCCUUUCUCCCCGGGACACUGCCUGCUGGGCCUGCUCCCUCCGGGGCUGCCUGCCCCUCACAAGGCUGCACUUUCUCAGGGGACGUCUCUUUGGGGUCUUUCGGGUCCUUCUGAGAAGUCACACCAGUCACCAGUGACCCCCGCCCAAACACAAAACCAGAGACUGACAAAAUGUUACCAGGCUGUGAUUUUACCAGGAAGAGACUCUGGGAAAAUGACUGUUAUUGCCAUCAUUUCCCAUGAAGGAAGGACGUUUUAGCACUCAGUAAAGCUGAUGAAGGAACGCUUGGUCCAGGUUGGCAGAUGUUCCUGGAAGGUUUGGGAACCAGUGUCCUAAGGAGACUCACUCUGGCCUAGAGGCCCAGCAAGGAAAGCUAAAGCACCAUUAGAUGAAGUACCAUUAGGGAAGCCAUCAGCCCUCCUAAAAACAGCAGCCUCCUUUCCCUACGGCUUACCCCUGCGGCUUCAUCAAUC